rnacentral:rRNA from 1 species
UACGGGGGGAGCAAGCGUUGUUCGGAUUUACUGGGCGUAAAGGGCGCGUAGGCGGUCAGCACAAGUCAGUUGUGAAAUCUCCGGGCUUAACUCGGAAAGGUCAACUGAUACUGUGCGACUAGAGUGCGGAAGGGGCAACUGGAAUUCUCGGUGUAGCGGUGAAAUGCGUAGGUAUCGAGAGGAACACCUGCGGCGAAGGCGGGUUGCUGGGCCGACACUGACGCUGAUGCGGCGAAAGCCAGGGGAGCGAACGGG